UUCAUCUUUGCCAAACAUCAAGACCGCGCCUUAGAAAUCCUCCGAGGUCUGUAGUGAGCCAGUCCCACCACCUCCUUCAGAGGGAUCUCCUGCGGUCUCUUCCUCUGCCGUUUCCUGCUUUGGUUUCUCCUGUCUGUUUCCCAUCUACUGCUCAGUUUGGUUCUGGAAGCCAAGAAAUAUCUUCCUCACUCUCCUGGAAAUCUUUCCCUUUACCCCAGAGAUGGAACUCAGAACCUUGUGCUUGUCGGCCAGGUGCUUACGCUGCUGAGCUAAUCCCCAGCCUCUCCUCUGUGGUUUACUUAGAUUCUGGAUUUCGCAUGGACGACAAACUGGGUGAUGUUUAAAAUUAUUAUUUAACUUAACGUUAUUGUCUAAAGGUGCAACUACUUUGCUACAAAUGACUCAAUUUUAUUUCUCUUUGUGGCAGAGUGUACAAACCAUCUUCCUUAACUGUCUCUCUUUUCUAGUUUUUUUUUUUUUUAAUUUUGAAAAUAGUAAAAUACGACAGAACAAGACAGAACAAAGCCAGUCGAGACAAUGCAGCAGAAUGAUACAGAACUUCACCGCAUGUGACCAGCAGUGAUGACAGGUCCCUUAGUGUAUCUCGUUAUCUUCACAAUAGUUGUCCAUUUAAUCAGGUCAGAACAAAGCAAAAACGGUGAAAACAAUAUUUGCCUUCAAAGAGAGGAUGGAAGGAAGUCCCCCAUAUUUGCUAUAUUGCACACGGUCGUCCUUCCAAGAUGCCCAGACCUCUAACGGAGCGGGGAGGAAAUGGGGGGCAGAUGGGGUGUUUGACCCUCAGCGCGGGGCCUGCGGGCGCACAGUGCUUGCCAGGAGGAGGCGGGCUGUUCCCUUUUCCAGUUUUGAUUCAUUAAUUUCUACUCUGAGCUUUAUAAGUUCCUUCCUUGUAUUCGGUUCGGAUCUGGAUUGUUCUUGUUUCUCUAGGACCUUGAUGUGUAUCAUUAGGGCAGUAUGUGGUAUAUUUCUUUUAUUAUUAUUAUUAUUAUUUGUAUUUUAUCAUUGUUUUGGCAUAUUUUUGAGACAGGGUUUCGCUGUGCAGUUCAGGCUGGCCUUGAGCUCACUGUGUAGCCCAGGCUGGUCUCAAACUAGCAACCAUCCUCCCGCCUCAGCCUCCCGAGUAGCUGGAAUUAAGGCUCAUGCUCCCAAUAUUCCUGCCUAUGGCAUGGAAUAUUGUUUCCCAUGCUUUGAUUUUUGUUCUAUUAAUUUAUUUUGGGUAUACUAUGUAUCUCUCAGACAGCAUCCUGCUGGCUUUUAAAAAAUUGUGCAUUUAUUUAUUUAGUUGUGUGCUUAUUUGUAUCUUUAUUUUGCAAUCUGUCGCUAGGAGAUGUUGGGCUCACAGGGGACGUGUCCUUGAGGUUCACCCCACUUCCUCUCUUCCUUGAGUACACUCAUCGCUGGGCGCAUGGUGAGGGGCACACGUCACAUCACCAGGGUCAGGGCACUGCCAUCCUGUCACAGGAAGACAGCUAAAUGGAGACUGACUCCAGAACCCACACCGACACCCAGAGCUUCUCUAUGCAGUUCAGAUGGCCUUGAGCUUACCGCGAUCCUCCUGCCUCAGCCUCCCGAGUGCCGGGAUUACAGGUUUGUGCCACUACACCCAGAUCACCACUUCUUACGGUGCUCUUUGUCAUGGAAAGAUCUUCUUUCUCUAUCAAUUUGGAAGAUAUUUCUCAGGACAUAUUAAUGUGGGCCGGAAGUUGUUUUCUCUUAGGGAUUGAAACAUUGCACUCCAGCCAGGGAUUUAGCUCAGCGGCAGGAGCGCCUGCCUGGCAAGCGUGAGGCCAUGAGUUCGAUCCCCGGAACCAAAAAGAAAAUGAAACAGUAACAACAGCAACAACAACAACAAAAUUUCACUCCAAACUCUCCCGGCCUUUAAGGACCCCAAUUUCCUAAAGCAUAAUUCCAAGAAUUGCAGAUGGCACUACGUGGGGUUAAAAGCUUUCUGCACAGCAGAAGAAAUAGCAAAUAGCAUGAAAAGACAACUUACAGCAUGAGAACAACACUUUGCCUGAUACUCCUCAGGCAGAGGACUAAUUAAAAUGCAGGCCACAAAGAAUUUAAAGAAUUUGAUCCUCCCAAAUAAAAGGUCUGAUCCAAAACAUGAGACAUUGAAGUGAAUGGACGCUUCUCAAAAGAAGAAAUACAAAAGAUCCAGAGGAAUCCUCAGCACGUUUGGCCACUAAAAUACAGAUCACAAUGGCAGUGAGAUUCUGUCUAAAUGCAGAAAGGAUGAUUGUCAUCAAGAAAUCAAAACUCAGAGGCCCCGCUGAGGCCUGGGAAGAAGAGCAGGUCUGCGCUGCGGGCAGCUAUGUGGGCCGUCCGGCCGCCACUAUGGGGGCCUCCUGCAGAUUCCCCAAAAGGUAAAACAGAAAUACCGUUUGAUCCAGCCGAGCCUCCUCUGGGAGUCUUCCUGAAAGAGGUAACAGUAUUAUCGUCGUGACGCAUGUGCCCCCCUGUUUAUAGCAGCACAAACCAUAACAGCUAAAUUUUGGGGGUGGCCUGUACGUCCAUCAGCAGAAGGGCAACUCUGCGUCACAGGUAGAAAAACAGACGCAUCUCGGGGUGUACUGUGGGAUUCCUGCCGUAUGAUGCUCUCAAAAGGACAAAACUGGAGACAGACGGUGAUCUGAUUUUGUUAAUUGUUCAGAUUUGGGUGCUGGAGACGGAGCCCAGGGCCGGGCAUGCACUACGCAGCUACGUUACUGCUGAGCUGUGUCCUUCUCUACGAAUUUUUAAUAUGCAUUUCCACGGCGACUGCAGUUGGGGCUCGACUCCGACAAUGAGGUAUUGUAUCAAAGGGUACAGGGCCUUCGGGGAAGCUGGGCAGGAGGAUCCCAAGUUGGAGUCAAACAUGGGUAACUUCUCAACUUACUGAGAUCCUAUCUGAAAAUAAAAAAUAAAGGCCUGAGUCAAGGCCCCGGGUUCAGUCUCCAUUGCUAAAAGAAUAAGAAGAUAAAGAUUCUUCGGCACUAAAGUGGAUUUUGUAUUAAAAUUUGGUCUUUGCUGUUAAACUUUAGUCAGGUGCGUACACCCAUGUGUAUGGUAGCACAGCUCCUCAUAGCUAAAUCCUGGAAGCAGCCUGGAUUCCCAUCACUGAGUGACUGGAUGAAGGAAACCUGGAAUACUAUGCAGCCACGAAGAGUGACAUAUGUGAGUCAUUUCCAGGAAAGUGGGUGCCCCUAAAAUAUAAUCUCGGGUAAAACCAACUGGGCACACAGGCUUAGGUGGUGACGCAAGGGGACAAGGGCGCAGGGGUGAGGGGUGAGGAGAAGGGGAUGAGAAGAAUAGAGAUAAUGCGAUGUGCAGGAGCUAAUCAUGAUCAUUGUAAGCACCACCCGCCAUCAAAUGAGCUAAGACAAAUGAUACCAGCAAGGCUGACAGGGGC